GCAGCCUCGACAAUGAAGCAACGGAGGACUGCCUCACUCUCGGACCACCCGUAAUUCCCCAAUUAAUUUUCUCGGCCACAACCCACAGCUCCCCACCCCCUCCGCAGCACCUAGCCUAGAUUCACCCCUAUGGCCCUACCCCGUGCGGGCGCCAGAGGAGGAGCUGGAACAUGGCGGCAAGGCUUCAGCCGGAGGAGCGCGCAUACAAAGGGGUUCUGCUAGCGGCGGCCCACGAGUGGUGCUCCAUGGAUGUGGCUGCUCGAUGCCUAUCCGUCGGGAUGCCAUGGGAGUGGCGAACCUCGACGAUGACUGCAGGGCGACGAAGGCCCCGAUUGGUUUGGGAAUGCUGCCCUCCCCUGCCCCCUCCCAACACCGGCCAGCUAGGUCACCUAGAAGUGAGUAGGGUGAGCAGUGGCGGCGGACGCGGAUAGUUGGAGGAAGGACCUGAUUAAUUUGGCAUACGCCUCUUACCUAAGACUGCUACCACCAUAUAGGUGUGAUCUUUCUGCUUCUCUGUUUGAUUUCAUUUACCCCUCUAUUCCUUCUUACACAUCUCCAUUCUUUCAGGUUUGCAUCUGUUCUAGAGGAGCAGGAGGAAGAAGAUGAGUUUCUUGGAGUUUAGGUGACUGCCAAUGGAGUAGGGUGGAUGCCUGCCAUUUAGUUUAUACGAUGUCUUCAUUCUCAGUGUGUGGCAUGUUGCAGGAACAGGUGGAGGCGUCACGGUGGUGGGUUCAAGUUGAGCACACUCUCGAUCAGCAUGAGUUCUGAUGACACGAGGAUUAUAUACAACUCAGAGAACAACAUGGAGCGGUGGACGCUGUCCAGUGCAACCAAGUCGGCGAGCAUGUCAGUUUUCUCCGGCCAUCACCUCGCCCGUGCGCCCCGACCCCCUUACCUGUGUUGCUCUUUUUGCAAACGAUUGAGUGAAGAUAUUUACAUCUGCAGCUGCUAUGGUUCUCUGAUUUUUUUCGCUGAAAUCAUGUCUACCACGUCGCUCCAUUAUUUUUGCACGGUCUGCUCUUUUUUUCUAGAUUGACAUGCUGGUUAGGUUAUUUGUCUGAUCGAAGGCAACACGUUAAUAACGGUCUGAUCUUUUUAUUUAGAUUUACGUGCUGGUUAGGUUAUUUCUCUGAUCGAAGGCAACAAGUUAAUAUCUCGUAAUACUUAUUACUGUUAGCUAUGAACAGUUUAUUACUUGGUCAGUCUUCUAGGGGUACAUACAAUGUUGACAUUUUUGUUUCAUCAGUGAGUUAUCGCUUGACUGUAUGUGUGCUAAAUACUCUUGCCUGCAAAUACUGCAACAAGCAGAACACAGGUUAUGGACUCUUAUGUUUGACAUUCCAGUAGCCACUCUUAUGUGUGCUGAAACCCUUUCAGGCUACUAUGCUCUAAUAAAAAGAUUUUCUCCAAUGUUUGGUGUUCAGAUCAUACUUUGUUUCACUGUGUUUUACAGGUCUAUGCCUGAAGAUUGUGAACUUUAUGUUUGAGGUAUGAUGCCAUGAAGCUUUUCCUCCAUACAUUUUGUUUGAGGAACUAUACAUUCCAAAUUAAUGAUAAUUUUCUAAAAUACUAACAUUAGUUGAGCAGAGUUGACGCAUCAGUUCUUGCAGUUUCAGAGUUUUUCUUGGAAGGUUGGUGGACCAAAACAUGCGGUUCUUGACAAGGUAUAGCAUAGCCUGCCGCCGGUUGCAGGUCUCUGACGACAAAUAUUAGGAGCUGGAGAAGGAAAUGGAGAACUGUUAAAAUAAGGCGACAUGAGGACCUGAUGAUGUGACAGAACUGAAGUUGGUCUAUGGUUUUAGUAGAAUGCUGUCGUAGGAUGAGUGCUCGCUCUUGUAGCACCGCAGCCCUUUCGAUGCUCGAAUGCAUGCACAGAAAAUUAUAGAUAUGUUUUCAUCUGACGAGGAGGACACUGGCACAGGCGCAAUGUACUGAUGAUCUCCAGGUCAAUCAUCUGCAGAAACACAACACAGACGCAAGGAAAGAGGGCGAUGCAGGGGCAAGUCAAGGGCGAUCCACCUUCUUCUCCCGCUGGCGCUGCUCCUCCCUAGCAAGGAUGGCGCGGUGGCAUGCUGUGCCCGUGAUGCUAAUUUUCUAACAUAAGUACUCCCGGCCUAGAUAGAUUUCUGAAUAAUUAUAAAGCUUCAUGUAAUGUGCACUUCCAUUGAAAAAGAGUCCAGAACAUACUGAAGUUUUUUCCAUAGUAUACAUAGUCUUAUUCAUUAUUUCAGUAUGGUGGUGUAGUAGAUGAUAGGAUUUAUUUUCUCACUACAUAUUAUGUCCACGUUGCCAGUUCAAGGCUGCUUCCUUA